GGGCGUGUGGUCUAGUGGUAUGAUUCUCGCUUUGGGCGACGGAUGUUUCAUUCGGACAAAUAUGCGAGAGGCCCUGGGUUCAAUUCCCAGCUCGCCCC